AUUGAACGCUGGCGGCAGGCCUAACACAUGCAAGUCGAGCGGAUGAAGGGAGCUUGCUCCUGGAUUCAGCGGCGGACGGGUGAGUAAUGCCUAGGAAUCUGCCUGGUAGUGGGGGAUAACGUCCGGAAACGGGCGCUAAUACCGCAUACGUCCUGAGGGAGAAAGUGGGGGAUCUUCGGACCUCACGCUAUCAGAUGAGCCUAGGUCGGAUUAGCUAGUUGGUGGGGUAAAGGCCUACCAAGGCGACGAUCCGUAACUGGUCUGAGAGGAUGAUCAGUCACACUGGAACUGGGACACGGUCCAGACUCCUACGGGAGGCAGCAGUGGGGAAUAGUGGACAAUGGGCGAAAGCCUGAUCCAGCCAUGCCGCGUGUGUGGAGAAGGUCUUCGGAUUGUAAAGCACUUUAAGUUGGGGGGAAGGGCAGUAAGUUAAUACCUUGCUGUUUUGACGUUACCAACAGAAUAAGCACCGGCUAACUUCGUG
rnacentral:rRNA from 1 species